rnacentral:lncRNA from 1 species
UAAUUUAUUGGCAUGCAAGAAGCAAAGCUCCUAAAUCAGUGUUGUAUAUUUUAUACAGAAGAACCAGACAGAGAUGUGGCACAAGGUAAAGUUCUUCUAUUUCUCCUUCCUUCUUCCUUUUAGCUCUGCUGCACACUGGGUUAUGGAAACCAUCUUGCACAACAUUACACAGACGUAAGAAGGCACCCUGUACUUGAGAAAGGACUGGAGUGAGAAAAACAAGUGUGAUGUUAAGAGCAAAGCACAGCAGAAAAUACUUUAGGAGGAUCUAUAAAAAGUUUAAAUUGGUAAAGCAUGUAUGUGGGUGGGUUAGAAAGAAUAAAGCAUAAUUAAGUUACUGAAGCCUCAGCAGGACUCUGAACAUUGUUCAGAGUGCAUUGCAGUUCGCUUUAAAGAAAUGUCAAGAAUACCCACAACCUUAGAAUGGGGACUUUUUUUGUAGUGCAGCAUUAAUUUCACCAAAUGCAUGAGGGCUGCCCUUUCCUGGGCUUUGCGUCACUGUGCUGCAGGGUACUGAGCAUGUUACAGGAACACAUGAAGGCAAAAGUGCCACCUUCUGCAGGCUGUGACAGAGCAGGGCUGCCCAUAUUAGGCACAGCUGAAAGCCAGGGGAAACUUUGCCAUCCUUCAUGACAAAGGGUGCUGGCUUCCGUCUUCUCCCCACAGUGGGAAUAGCCCCAUCUGGGUGUCCCUGCCUGCACAGUUAUAUCAGGAGAGGGUGGAUGGACGAGAGGAGAUAGCUCUACCCUCUCUCCUUCUGAAGUAUCAGGGAGCAGAGAAAAGCAUGACAAGCACAGAAAAGUCUCCUUGCAGCUGCUGAAUGGCAUUUCUAAUUGCUCUGUGAUGUGAGCAGUUUAGGCCCGAUGCCCUCGUGCCAUGAGUGACCCAGACGCUGCCCUCUUCUGCUCCUCACCCAUCCCUGCUUGCCCUUCUCUUUCCCUGGAGCUUCCUGGGGUGACCCUCAGUGGCCACCAUGGCAGAAGAUCCAGGCUUCUUUGCCAAAGCCUGUGUUGUGCCUGAGGCUGACAGAAGAAAGCACCACCAUGAGCUUCAUAAAGCACUUUGUUGGAUGACAGCACUUCUGGAGUCCUUGGAGCAAAUCAGAUCUGAGCCCAGCCAUGUGAGUGGUCUGAGGCACACAAUGCAGGACAGCUUCGUGGCAUUCUAGAAGUACCCUCCAAAGGAACCACACUGAUGAUAUAAUAAUUACUGUUUUCACCCAAGAGAUUUAUUACCCUUCUUUGAGAGGGAACCAAAACCCUUGGCAAGCAGAAACUUUACAGAUAUCCGAAUUGCCCAAACUGGCUUUAUGCAGCUGCAAGGAAGACCAGCUUCAGAGAAAGACAAUUAAAAUUAGUGUAUGACAGGUAACUUCUUAUUGCACUGUAAUUAAAUGUAACAUCUCAACCUGGAAGCAGCUCUAUAAACUAGGUAAUAAUGGAUGAAAAAUAUUAAAUUAUUAUUUUCAGCCUAGAUAACUAAUAUUCUUCAGUAUCAGAUUCCCAUGAGGUGCUAAAUGAAGACGUGUUAAUUCAUACUCAUAUCCUCUUUGGUUUUGCAGCAAGUUUAAAAUAACUCUACAGAGACAUUUCAGAGUAAGAUGGGUACAAAUGUAAUAUUGUGCAAACGCCUUCUGCCUGUCCACAAUAAUAAUUUUUGAAGGAAGAGACUUGUAGAGGCUUUCAGCCAGAAUAUCUUUUGGAUACUGAGGAUAUCUGGUGCUGAAUGAUUUUGCAUGUUAUGACACCUGCAUCUAAAAAAAUAGUGUUCAUAUUAGCAGUGUCAUCCACUGCAAUAUAAUCUAUUUCUUUUUUUAAUAUCAAAGAUUAACCCAUCAUCUUAUAGACCUUUGAGGAGAAAAAAAAUGAAAACAAUCUUCAGUGCUUUUUAACUAUGAACCUGUUGAGAAUAUAAAUGGUUCCCUGCCUUUGGGGGAAAAAAAGAAGAAAAACUCAAUUGUAGUUUUACUAGAAGAUGUCUACCCAAAUUCUUUGCCUCUGGAAAAAUUCUUAAAGAUGAUAGUAUGCAGGUUAUUUCAGUAAUCAGAAAACACCAGGAAAAAAUGUAAAUAGACUUUCUAUAUCCUGAAUUUGAAUCACCUCAAACAGUGUGACUGACAAACAUUGACAGGGGAAAGAAAUGCAGCUAAGAGUCCUGCAGAAGGUAUC